rnacentral:rRNA from 1 species
AACGAACGCUGGCGGCAGGCCUAACACAUGCAAGUUGAACGAACUCUUCGGAGUGAGUAGCGCACGGGUGCGUAACACGUGGGAAUAUGCCCUUAGGUAAGGAACAACAUCUGGAAACGGGUGCUAAUACCUUAUAAUAUCUUCGGAUCAAAGAUUUAUCGCCUAGGGAUUAGCCCGCGUCUGAUUAGAUAGUUGGUGAGGUAAUGGCUCACCAAGUCGACGAUCAGUAGGGGGUCUGAGAGGAUGAUCCCCCACACUGGGACUGAGACACGGCCCAGACUCCUACGGGAGGCAGCAGUGAGGAAUAUUGGACAAUGGGGGCAACCCUGAUCCAGCCAUGCCGCGUGAGUGAAGAAGGCCUUCGGGUUGUAAAGCUCUUUCAGAUGCGAAGAUAAUGACGGUAACAUCAGAAGAAGCCCCGGCUAAAUUCG